rnacentral:rRNA from 1 species
CCAAUAGCGUAUAUUAAAGUUGUUGCAGUUAAAAAGCUCGUAGUUGAAUUUCGGGAUCAGUACGCUGGUCGUGCCUUCGGUAUGCACUGGUUUCACUGAUUCCUCCCUUCUGAAGAACCGUAAUGCCAUUCAGUUGGUGUGGCGGGGAAUCAGGAUUGUUACUUUGAAAAAAUUAGAGUGUUUAAAGCAGGCUCGCGCUUGAAUACAUUAGCAUGGAAUAAUGAAAUAGGACGUUUGAUCCUAUCUUGUUGGUUUCAAGGAUUGACGUAAUGAUUAAUAGGGAUAGUUGGGGGCAUUAGUAUUCAAUUGUCAGAGGUGAAAUUCUUGGAUUUAUUGAAGACUAACUACUGCGAAAGCAUUUGCCAAAGAUGUUUUCAUUAAUCAAGAACGAAAGUUAGGGGAUCGAAGACGAUCAGAUACCGUCGUAGUCUUAACCAUAAACUAUGCCGACUAGGGAUCGGAUGAUGUUAAUUUUUUAAUGACUCAUUCGGCGCCUUACG